UACGUAGGGUGCGAGCGUUGUCCGGAAUUAUUGGGCGUAAAGAGCUUGUAGGCGGUCUGUCGCGUCUGCCGUGAAAGUCCGGGGCUCAACUCCGGAUCUGCGGUGGGUACGGGCAGACUAGAGUGAUGUAGGGGAGACUGGAAUUCCUGGUGUAGCGGUGAAAUGCGCAGAUAUCAGGAGGAACACCGAUGGCGAAGGCAGGUCUCUGGGCAUUAACUGACGCUGAGGAGCGAAAGCAUGGGGGAGCGAACAGGA
rnacentral:rRNA from 1 species